CCACCUCUCUCACUCUCUCCGUUGUUUCGGCCGCACGUCUCUUCUCCACUUUCCCCUCCAUUUUACAUUUAUACCCCUCCGCCGUCUUCACCAAUUUUGUUCUCGGCCUCGAUUCCGACCCCUCUCCGUCCUCCCCAUGGCCAUGGGGCUCUCCACCGCCAAACCCUACCGCCGACGCCUCUUCCUCCUCCUACUCCGGUGCACCAGAACCGCCGAACCCUCGCCAAAAUGUCCCCAUCACCGCCCCUUGUCCUGUUCCUCCCCCGCCGCCGCUGCCGAAGCCACCUACCUCCGCCGCAUAUUCCGCCCCGGCGAUCCCAACAGGUUCGCGCCCGGAAUUCUCGACGCUUUUUGGGGCGUGCGGCGGUUCUCCACCUCUGUCGAUCCGAUCUCUGGCGGCGAUAAGAACCUCGAGAGGAUUUUCAUCCAGAACAUGUCCGUGAAGCCCAUCGUGGUCGAUGGAGUUGAUGCCGUGCCGAUUGAGGAUGAGAGGAAAGAAGAGGUUGAUACGGUAGUGGCGGACGUGGAGGAGGGAAAAGAGGAGCUUUGCGGUGGUAAGGUUGGGGAUUUGGACCAAUUGGAGGGUGGCUUGGAAGUACGGCAGGAGAAAGAGCAGUCGGAGGUGGAGAAGGAGGCCUGGAGGCUUUUGGACAGGGCAGUCGUGAGCUAUUGCGGGAGACCAAUUGGGACCGUGGCUGCCAAUGAUGUGACGGCGGCGAACCAAGCGGUGAACUACGAUCAGGUGUUUAUCAGGGACUUCGUACCAUCUGCCCUAGCUUUCCUGCUUAAGGGGGAAAGCGAGAUCGUCCGCAAUUUCCUCCUCCAUACUUUGCAGCUUCAGAGCUGGGAGAAAACAGUUGACUGCUACAGCCCUGGACAAGGGCUGAUGCCGGCUAGCUUUAAAGUGAGAACUGUACCUUUGGAUGGAAGUAAUGAAGCAUUUGAAGAGGUUUUGGAUCCUGAUUUUGGAGAGUCAGCAAUUGGACGUGUAGCACCAGUUGAUUCUGGACUAUGGUGGAUUAUACUGCUAAGAGCAUAUGGAAAGAUAACUGGGGAUUAUGCAUUACAAGAAAGAGUGGAUGUACAAACAGGCAUCAGGUUGAUUUUAAAUUUAUGUUUGUCAGAUGGCUUUGACAUGUUCCCAUCUCUAUUGGUCACAGAUGGUUCAUGCAUGAUAGAUCGAAGGAUGGGUAUCCAUGGGCACCCUCUUGAGAUCCAAGCAUUGUUCUAUUCAGCUUUGCGGUGCUCUCGUGAAAUGAUCACUUUUAAUGAUGGAUCUAAAAAUCUGGUACGUGCUAUUAAUAACAGGCUCAGUGCUCUGUCUUUCCACAUUAGGGAGUAUUAUUGGGUUGAUAUGAAGAAGAUAAAUGAGAUUUAUCGUUACAAGACUGAAGAGUACUCCCAUGAUGCUAUUAACAAGUUCAAUAUUUAUCCUGAACAAAUUCCAUCUUGGCUAGUUGAAUGGAUGCCUGAUAAAGGUGGCUAUUUUAUUGGCAAUCUCCAGCCAGCUCACAUGGAUUUCAGGUUCUUCUCCCUUGGUAAUUUUUGGGCUAUUGUUUCUUCACUAGCCACACCAAGACAGGCAGAUGGCAUUCUCAAUUUAAUUGAAGAUAAAUGGGAUGAUAUUGUGGGACGUAUGCCACUCAAAAUAUGCUACCCUUCUUUAGAAUAUGAGGAAUGGCGUAUAAUCACUGGCAGUGAUCCAAAGAACACGCCGUGGUCAUAUCACAAUGGUGGAUCUUGGCCUACGCUUCUGUGGCAGUUCACAUUGGCUUGCAUUAAGAUGGGUAGGCCAGAGUUAGCACAAAGAGCUGUUGCAGUGGCUGAGAAGAGAUUGCCAAAUGACAAGUGGCCAGAAUAUUACGACACACGUAGUGGAAGAUUUAUUGGGAAGCAAUCACGGCUGUAUCAGACGUGGACCAUAGCUGGAUUCCUUACUGCCAAAAUGCUUCUGGAAAAUCCAGCUGCAGCAGCUGUAUUGACAUGCGAUGAAGAUCUUGAGCUUCUUCAAGGCUGUGCUUGUAGUCUAAGCAAGAAUGCCCGAAUCAAGUGCUCCCGCCUUGCAGCCAAAUCACAGGACAUGAAAUAGAGGGUGGAUUCAUUUCAUGCUGGGAUAAUUCCGAUAGACCUCAGAGUGUAAUACUUGAAUCAUUGCUAAUUUUGUAUCUGGAGAUCCCAUAUUUUCGAAUACAAGGUGCAGUUAGGCGGCUGCAGAAAUCGAAUUAUCAACUCACAAGAGAACAUCUCAUUGAAGCAGCAUCAUGAAUAUUGCAGUUUGUUCUACCUUUUCCUUGGUUUCUUUGGUGUUCCGAUGAGAUCUGGUUGCAGUAUCAUGGAUAGUUUCUUGAUGAAGUUGUUUUCUGGAAUCUGGAGUACCAUCAUGUGUGUGGUUGAGUUAUUGAGCUGAUGAUGUAUCUCCUGUUUCAAUAAUGUUGAUUUCAGCACCCUGACGGGUGCACUCAAUUUUGCAUUAAUGGUUUCAGAGAUCUCACCAAACCCCUCACGAAGAGUCUGUAAGCUUUCACCUUCAAGGCCGCAAUGGAGUAAAGCCCGACUUCAGUGCGUGCAUGUGCAUGUCGACAGACUCGUACAAGCUCAUACACCACCACCAUGCUUUUCUUUGGCCACUGAGUUGGAGCAUUCAUUCGGCUAUAACUUCCUUCACAUGUGAUCUGCUGAUUCCAUGUCAGACAUAUCUGAAUUCCCAAAUCUGCACUCGACUCAGAUUGAGGGAAAAAAGAAAAAGAAAAGGUAAAUUGGUACAUCAUUGAGGCCUCUCUCUCCGGUAUAAGUAGGAAUGGAGAGUGGAGCAAAGGUCCGUUGAACAUGGAGAAGUCGAGCAUGGUGGUGGUGCUGUUCCUUGCAUUGUUUCUGUCUUCCUUUGCCGGAGGCCUCGAAGCAAGAGAACUCAAGAACGAGCCCAUGUCGUACCAGCCUCAGAACUUCCCUGGAGCAUUUGGAGGCUUCCCAGGCUUUGGUUUCGGCCAGCCACUCCGUGGAUCCAUCCCCACCAUUCCGGGCUUCGGAAACUUGCCAGGGAUUCCCGGCGGCGGCAUUGGCGGCCGUCAGGCUGCUACGCCAUGAUCGAGUGGGGCAGUGCCAUCAAGCUCGUGCUGUGAUCAUCAAUCGUAUGUGUGAAGAGCAGCUAUAUAUAUGUAGGUUGCUGCGGUUGUGGUUUCUUGCUUUGUGAUCAGGAAAGAGUUGUGAGAGAGUUCUAAGUUAGCUCUUGGUUUGCUGUGUGUUGUUUGCCUGCAUGCUAAUGUUGUGAUUGCUUUCGUCUUUCUGGACUAGUGAAGACUCUGUUUGUUUUC